UCUACCUAGAUUAUGUACUUAGUUUGUGUAAAGGACGUAUGGAGAACGGUUUUGACUUGGUCAGUCCAAGACAAUAGUUUCAUAUGAGUAAAUAUCCUCAUAAAUAAUCCAAGAUCCAAGUUACGGCUAGAUGUAAUUCAGGCAGUUAUCAUCAGUAGAGCUUAUCUGGAGAAACAGGCCGCGGCCAAGUGCGUGUGCGAGUCAUCAACGUGUUGGCGUGGGAGCUGGACUUCAGCAGCUGGGCAGAAGAAGAUCCUCGAAAGGUAGGAUGAACAACCCAACAAUGGUAUCAGCUAUGGCGAAACAGGAAAAAGCGUAAAAUGUGC
rnacentral:lncRNA from 1 species